UCCCUGCCCUUUGUACACACCGCCCGUCGCUCCUACCGAUUGGAUGACUCGGUGAAAUCACCGGAUGCUUACGAGCAGAAAGUGAUUAAAUCACGUUAUCUAGAGGAAGGAGAAGUCGUAACAAGGUAACGGUAGGUGAACCUGCCGUUGGAUCAGUU
rnacentral:ncRNA from 1 species